rnacentral:rRNA from 1 species
UCAAGUGACUAAGCGUACACGGUGGAUGCCUUGGCAGUCAGAGGCGAUGAAGGACGUGGUAAUCUGCGAAAAGUCUUGGGGAGCCGAUAAACAGGCCCUGAUCCAGGAAUGUCCGAAUGGGGAAACCCACUCACGUAAGUGAGUAUCCUUUACCUGAAUACAUAGGGUUUAGGAGGCGAACCCGGGGAACUGAAACAUCUAAGUACCCGGAGGAAAAGAAAUCAACCGAGAUUCCCCUAGUAGCGGCGAGCGAACGGGGACCAGCCCUUAAGCAAUAUUUGGUUUAGCGGAACACUCUGGAAAGUGUGGCCAUAGUGGGUGAUAGCCCCGUACGCGAAAAGCCAUUUAUUGUGAAAUCGAGUAGGUCGGCACACGUGAAAUGUUGACUGAACAUGGGGGGACCAUCCUCCAAGGCUAAAUACUCCUGACUGACCGAUAGUGAACCAGUACCGUGAGGGAAAGGCGAAAAGAACCCCGUUGAGGGGAGUGAAAUAGAACCUGAAACCGUGUACGUACAAGCAGUGGGAGCAGACUUGUUCUGUGACUGCGUACCUUUUGUAUAAUGGGUCAGCGACUUAUUUUCUGUGGCAAGGUUAACCGAAUAGGGAAGCCGUAGCGAAAGCGAGUCUUAAUAGGGCGUCCAGUCGCAGUGAAUAGACCCGAAACCGGGCGAUCUAUCCAUGAGCAGGUUGAAGAUCAGGUAACACUGAUUGGAGGACCGAACCCACUGUCGUUGAAAAGCCAGGGGAUGACUUGUGGAUAGGAGUGAAAGGCUAAUCAAGCCCGGAGAUAGCUGGUUCUCCUCGAAAGCUAUUUAGGUAGCGCCUCGUGUCUCACCAUCGGGGGUAGAGCACUGUUUGGGCUAGGGGGCCAUCCCGGCUUACCAACCCCAUGCAAACUCCGAAUACCGAUGAGUGCAAUCACGGGAGACACACGGCGGGUGCUAACGUCCGUCGUGGAAAGGGAAACAACCCAGACCGUCAGCUAAGGUCCCAAAGUAAUAGUUAAGUGGGAAACGAUGUGAGAAGGCCCAGACAGCCAGGAGGUUGGCUUAGAAGCAGCCACCCUUUAAAGAAAGCGUAAUAGCUCACUGGUCGAGUCGGCUCGCGCGGAAGAUGUAACGGGGCUCAAACUAUUCACCGAAGCUACGGGUUCAAUACUUUGUAUUGAGCGGUAGAGGAGCGUUCUGUAAGCCGUUGAAGGUCAACCGGGAGGUGGGCUGGAGGUAUCAGAAGUGCGAAUGCUGACAUGAGUAACGAUAAAGGGAGUGAGAUCCUCCCUCGCCGGAAGACCAAGGGUUCCUGCGCAACGCUAAUCGGCGCAGGGUGAGUCGGCCCCUAAGGUGAGGUCGAAAGACGUAAUCGAUGGGAAACAGGUUAAUAUUCCUGUACCCCUUUUGACUGCGAUGGAGUGACGGAGAAGGCUAGGUCAGCCCGGUGAUGGUUAUCCGGGUUUAAGGUCGUAGACAGUGGAAUCAGGCAAAUCCGGUUCCAUAAUGUCGAGAACUGAUGACGAACUGACUACGGUCAGGAAGUGAUUGAUGCCAGGCUUCCAGGAAAAACUUCUAAGCUCUAGGUCAAAAGGGACCGUACCCGAAACCGACACAGGUGGUCAGGUAGAGAAUACCAAGGCGCUUGAGAGAACUUGGGUGAAGGAACUAGGCAAAAUGGCACCGUAACUUCGGGAGAAGGUGCGCCGCUGAUGGUGAUCGGACUUGCUCCGUAAGCUAUCGGCGGUCGAAGAUACCAGGUGGCUGCGACUGUUUAUUAAAAACACAGCACUGUGCUAACACGUAAGUGGACGUAUACGGUGUGACGCCUGCCCGGUGCCGGAAGGUUAAUUGAUGGGGUUAGCUUAGGCGAAGCUCUUGAUCGAAGCCCCGGUAAACGGCGGCCGUAACUAUAACGGUCCUAAGGUAGCGAAAUUCCUUGUCGGGUAAGUUCCGACCUGCACGAAUGGCGUAACGAUGGCCACGCUGUCUCCACCCAAGACUCAGUGAAAUUGAAAUCGCUGUUAAGAUGCAGUGUAUCCGCGGCUAGACGGAAAGACCCCGUGAACCUUUACUACAGCUUCACAGUGGAUCUUGAUGUUGCUUGUGUAGGAUAGGUGGGAGGCUUUGAAGUGUGAACGCCAGUUUGCAUGGAGCCAACCUUGAAAUACCACCCUGGCAAUAUUGAGGUUCUAACUCAGGUCCCUGAUCGGGAUCGAGGAC